AGCCCUGUGGAUGCUGUGUGGUGUCUGGAAUGGGGCGUGUGUGUUCCCAUCAUGCCCCUUCCCCUCUGCCUGCAGAGCUGAGGACAGACAGGUCUGAGGAGCAGAGCAGGAGCUCUGGGAAGGAGAAGAGCAAUAUGAAGAUGGAGUCUAAGAUGAGGCCAGGGAAAAGAAGUCGUGGGGAUGGAGUCCAGCCCUGAGGUGAGAUGGAAAGUGAUCAAGAGCAGUGACAGCGUGAAUCCUGUUGAUGCCAGGCAAGAGCUGCCCAACUGGGACAAGAGUAACCGUCUCUGUCGUUGGAAUGGAGCUUUUAAUUGACAUUUGCUGGAUUCAAAUGGCUGACUUGCAACACCAGUUUUGACAUAGUUCUGCAUAUUUUAUUACGAUUUGACCAGUAUUCAAGGAUUCAAUUCCUUUA